rnacentral:rRNA from 1 species
GAGUUUGAUCUUGGCUCAGGAUGAACGCCGGCGGUGUGCCUAAUACAUGCAAGUCGUACGCACUGGCCCAACUGAUUGAUGGUGCUUGCACCUGAUUGACGAUGGAUCACCAGUGAGUGGCGGACGGGUGAGUAACACGUAGGUAACCUGCCCCGGAGCGGGGGAUAACAUUUGGAAACAGAUGCUAAUACCGCAUAACAACAAAAGCCACAUGGCUUUGUUGAAAGAUGGCUUUGGCUAUCACUCUGGGAUGGACCCGCGUUGGAUUAGCUUGUUGGUGAGGUAACGGCUCACCAAGGCGACGAUCCAUAGCCGGCCUGAGAGGGU